UCAAGGUGACCCAAACAACACCGCCUCAAGUGCCCAGGACUUUCGGUGAAUAAAUAGUUUCUAAGGUCUUCUAUUCCCGCUUAAGCUGAGACUCGAGAAGUCAACCCCAAGACCUUUCUCUCCAGCCUCAGGAUAGACUACUAGCCCAGGAGGGAAGAUUCUAUUCACAGCUGGGAAACUGAGGCCUGAGAAGGGAAGCUGACAUGGCUCAAGUCACUCAGUUCCCCUGACACUCACGCCAGAGCCCUCCGAGUGCACCAGAACACGGGGGCACUGG